rnacentral:rRNA from 1 species
GCUUGUCUCAAAGAUUAAGCCAUGCAUGUCUAAGUAUAAACAAAUCUAUACUGUGAAACUGCGAAUGGCUCAUUAUAUCAGUUAUAGUUUAUUUGAUGGUCCUUGCUACUUGGAUAACCGUAGUAAUUCUAGAGCUAAUACAUGCAUUAAACCCCGACUUCUGGAAGGGGUGUAUUUAUUAGAUUGAAACCAAUGCGGGUUCCCCGGUAUUUGGUGAUUCAUAAUAACUUUCGGAUCGACUUCGGUCGAUGCAUCAUUCAAGUUUCUGCCCUAUCAGCUUUGGAUGGUAGGGUAUUGGCCUACCAUGGCUUUAACGGGUAACGGAGAAUUAGGGUUCGAUUCCGGAGAGGGAGCCUGAGAAAUGGCUACCACAUCCAAGGAAGGCAGCAGG